rnacentral:lncRNA from 1 species
UGGCUUGCUCUGCUUGGCAUUAAACUCGUUGCAAAAAUGUGUGCCACAUCUGUUAGUUCCCUUUUUAUCCUUUUGACUAAAUAUAACGUGGUGUGUCUAUGAGUGGAAUCAACCCCUGGACAACACCUGGAAACCAUUCUCUCAUCAAUACACUGCUUUCAGGAGUAGUUUUCAAUGUUUUUAACCCAAUUUCUGUUCAAGUUUAUUGCAUUUAUUUUUACUCUUUUACUUGUUUCAGUCAUUUGACUGUGGCCAUGCUGGAGCACCACCUUUAGUCUAGCAAAUUGACCCCAGGACUUAUUCUUUGUAAGCUCAGUACUUAUUCUAUCAGUCUCUUUUGCUGAACUGCUAAGUUAUGGGGAUGUAAACACACCAGCAUCGGUUGACAAGUGAUGUUGGGGAGACAGACACACAAACAUAUACACACACACAUAAAUAUAUACAUAUAUACGACGAGCUUCUUUCAGUUUCUGUCUAUCCACUCCACUCACAAGGCUUUGGUCGGCCCGAGGCUAUAGUAGAAGACACUUGCCCAAGGUGCCACGCAGUGGGACUGAACCCGGAACCAUGUGGGUGAUAACCAAGCUACUUACCACACAGCCGCUCCUGUUUGAUCAUUUCACAUGACUUUAUUCAUUAAAACUUCAGAAGUUCUUACAACUUUGGUUGUCGUAAUGCUCUGCUUUAGUUUGCUAAAUAAAAAUUCCCUGUGACUCUUGAAGGGGUGUCCUAUGGGAUGGUCUAGAUGGGAUUUCAUUUUGUGAUAACUAUCAUGCAGAAAAUGCCAGCUUCCAAAUCUUGUAUUUUUUCUGCCAUUACGUUCUGAGUUCAAAUUCCGCCGAGGUCGACUUUGCCUUUCAUCCUUUCGGGGUCGAUAAAUUAAGUACCAGUUACGCACUGGGGUCGAUGUAAUUGACUUAAUCCGUUUGUCUGUCCUUGUUUGUCCCCUCUGUGUUUAACCCCUUGUGGGUAGUAAAGAAAUAUGUAUCACCAGCAUGGGUGCCCUGUAUGUGUCACUGGCACAGGUGCCUUCUAUUUCUACAUGUCACUGGCACUGGCCAUGACUACAAUUUUACUUGGGGAAAUAUUAGUUUACUUGAAAAUAGGUGAGGGUUAGCAACAGGAAGGGCAUCCGGCUGUAGAAAAUUUGCGUCAAUGAAUUUUGUUGGAUCUAUGCAAGCAUGGAAAAGUGGACAUUAAAACAUUGGUGAUGUGUGUGUUGAAAUAUAUUUAUUGGAAAGAAAAUAAUUCUGAUCUUUCAUCAAUUGUGCUUUUGUUUGAAAAUGGAAGUUUAUGGAACAUGCUGAAAAUAGCAAAUUGUACUUGGACAGCUGAUUAGCUUAAUGAGUAAGAACAGCACUGUUGAUGGUUAUGGUGGUGAUGGUGAUGAUGUUUGUGUGAAAGAAAUUAGAACGAAAACAAAAGGUUUUGAGAGUGUGGGUGGAUUAAUAUAGAAAGGAGUGCAAUUUUAUGAGUGGGUAUUGGGAUGGCGGUGGGGAGCUUUGAUGGGUCAGUCAUUGAAGAAUGGAAGUUUUGGGACUUUAUAUAUGUUUGAGUAUGAAAUGUGUGAAAGAGUAUUCAUGUGUGUGUGUGUGAGAGAGAGUUUACAUGGCUCAGGCAACUUGUGUGUGAGAUAGAAUACUGUGCAAGAAAGAUAAUGCAUGUGUACGAAAAAGUGUAGUUACAUGUAUUUGUGUUAUGGAAAUAUGUGCUUUUUUUUCUUUUAAUUUAGAGAAAAAGCAGGACUCAUGCCAUUUUUCAGUGCCUCCAAAGACUGAUAAUGAGAAGGAAGAAAGUUAUCUGAAGGCUCUUGGGUGCCACCAGCAGAGUCUACUCUUGGUAUUAAACCAAGCAACAUGUUGAGUCUACCACCUGAAAAUUUGAGCAAGAGAGAGAGAUUAUCUUCUUAAUCUGAAUGUGUGUUUGUAUGUGUGUGUGAGAGACUGCUAAUCAGCUGUGUAUCUGUAUAGCUGCACAUGUGUGAAUAUGAGCGUAAGGAUGUGCACAUAUAAAUGUAAAUGCAUAUGAGCAUUUGUGUUUCUAAAUAUGUGCACACAGAUAUGUAUACCCAGCUGGCAGCUGAAUUGUAUGACAUUCAAAAAAUGUUGGAUGUUUAGAAGAGAAAUAGCUUGUAAAAUUUCUGUUAACAGUACCUGUUUACUUAUAUGUAAAUAUUGCAUACAAAUAUUUCAGAAUUUAAUAGAAAUAAAAUGUUGCUGUAUUGAUCGAUAACAAAUAUUAUAGAAGCUUUCAGUCUGUAUAAGAUGGUGAAUAGCGAUAUGGUUUUGUGGGGUUUGUUUUGUAGCUUUUGAGUCAGCCUACCACAGACAAAUGUACAUUCAUGAAUAUGUAUUAGCUAUAUCCUUGCAUAUAUGUAUGUAUCUUUGUUAAUGGAUCUUUCAACCAGAAGUUCAUUUCUAAAGGCAACAGAAUUAUUUUUGUUUGUAUUUAUGUCCAUUUUCCAUGCUAGCAAGGGUUAGAUCAGGGGUCACCAAACUUUUUUCAUGGUGGACCAGAUAACUGAGAGAACGACAAGCAUGGGCCGAAUAACCAUUUUGCUCAAUACCAUACAGUACAAUACAGAAAUCGAAAUCAAAUUCAAUGACUGGCAUCCGUGCUAGUGGAGCACUAAGAGCACCAUCCAAGUGUGAUCGUUGCCAGAGCAGCUAACUGGCUUCUCUGCCGGUGGCACAUAAAAAACACCAUUCGAGCUUGAUCGUUACCAGUGUCGCCUUACUGGCACUUGUGCUGGUGGCACGUAAAGAAAAACAUUUGAGCAUGGCCGUUGCCAGUAUUGCCUGACUGGCCCUUGUACCGGUGGCACGUAAAAGCACCCACUACACUCUCAGAGUGGUUGGCGUUAGGAAGGGCAUCCAGCUGUAGAAACUCUGCCAGAUCAAGAUUGGAGCCUGGUGCAGCCAUCUGGUUCGCCAGUCCUCAGUUAAAUCGUCCAACCCAUGCUAGCAUGGAAAGCAGACGUUAAACAAUGAUAAUGAUGAUAAUGAAUACAGUGAAUACACAAAAAAUGAAGACAGACAACAUAUCUACUUAUCAAAAUGUUAUGAAAGAAGGUGAUGUUAGCAAUAACAUGGUUACAUCACACUCAGUGUGCACAUAGCUGAAUCUCACAAACUAAGCAGCAAAAAAGUUUAGUGAGAUUUGUGAAACUGGUGUUUAGCUUUUAACACAUCAAUAUCUGCUCUGGAAUUGCUGCAUCCAACCAAGAGAAUUGCUUUCAAAUGUUCAUCAGUCAACCUUGUGCUGACUUUAUUUUGCUCACAAACCUAUGUUAUUCCAAACACUGAUGCCAUACCAGAGGUAAAUGAACUCUCAUUGCAGGUACUUACACAAAGGUACAGUGUGGCAGUGGGCUGGAUGAAAUGACCUCGUGGGCCAAAUCUGGCCCACAGGCCUUAGUUUGAUGACCCCGGGUUUAGAUGAUUAUAUUAUCAAACUGUUGUUUGACAGCUAGAUGCCCCAUCCUAACACUAAGCUUUACUUGUUUUUCAAGUAAGAGAUAUCUUGUUCCACGUGCCUUUGAAAGUGCAAAGCCAACAAACCAUACAUUGGCAGUUGAAAUGAGAGCAGUGUCACAAAACACACACAUGUACACCUGCAUAGUUAUAUGCUCACCCAUGUGCACAUACACAAACAUGCACACACACACACACACAAUAGGCUUCUUUCAGUUUUUCAUUUGCCAAAUUUGUUUAACCCAGAUUUUAUCCUAGUUACUGAACUCAAAACUAUGCAGUUGGAAAGUGGACCCCUUCACCCCACAAAAAUACAUGAACCUACCUACUAAUUAAAUUGCAGUGUAUUUGAAUAUCGCACAGAUACUUGUAUCUCUUAACAUAACUUUCAAGCAGAUUUGACAUGACACAUUGUGUGGACAUGGCUGGCACUUUAGAUUGGAGUCAUCUCUUCCAGCAUGCUUCUGUAGAAUUUCUGUCGACCCAUUUUUACUGACAUGCCAUGGGUUCAUCCUCAGUUAUGGUAGAAGAUACUUGACCUAAGGCAGCGAGCUGGCAGAAAGGUUAGCACACUGGGCAAAAUGCUUAGCGGUAUUUCGUCUGCUACUACGUCCUGAGUUCAAAUUCCGCCGAGGUCGACUUUGCCUUUCAUCCUUUUGGGGUCUAUUAAAUAAGUGCCAGUUACACACUGGGGUCGAUGUAAUCAACUUAAUCUGUUUGUCUGUCCUUGUUUGUCCUUUCUGUGUUUAGCCCCAUGUGGGUAAUAAAGAAAUAGGUAUUUCGUCCCAUUGCCUGACUGGUAGAAGGGUUGUGGGCACCUGACGACAUUCUAGGUGCCAGGUGCCCAAUCUUAGUCUUUCCUUCACCCUGGACUGCAAUUCCAUCAAGUAAAUUAGAAGGUCAACCAAGAUGCCAUGCCAUGGGAUUGAAUCUGGGACCAUGUGGUUAGGAAGUAAACUUCUUACCACACAGCCAUGCCUGUGCCUAUAUGAUAGGUUCCUUUUAGUUUCUAUCUGCCAAAUUCCCUUAAUAACUAAUUCUUUUUGUAUGCCAUUAAAAUGACUUUUAAAUGUUAUCAACAAACAACAGUGCUCCUCCACCUUUUUUUUUUGUUCUUUUUUAACCCCAGUUCAACUCUGAUGAAAGAUAUUCUAUCUAUGACCAACCAGUCUUAUAUUCAGACUACAUUACACAAUACAUGUAGAAUAUGAUUUGAGGGUUGUUUGUUAUUUCUGUUCUCCUUCGUUUUCCUGUUUUUGAACACACACAUUUGAUAUAACAAUAUUGGCUCAUUUACACAUGUUUCACCACCACCACCACCUCUGCCAAACGUGUUACCACCACUACCUCUGCCUUUACCAACGCAUCACCACCUUCCUAACACAACAUCACUGCUAUCUCCAUCAGUGCUACCACCACCACUAACUAUUAUCCACCCCACCCCCGUAAUUCCUGGAUUCACAUAUAGGCCAUAUAUUUAGUGUUUUGUUUUCUAAUUUUGAAUUUGUUUUUUUUUCUUUGUUGUAUUUAAAAAACAAAAACAAUGCAACAUUCAUUAUGUAGUGUUUGUUUUUUUCCCCCCGUUUGUUGCAGACUGUUGCUAUUGUUGUUUAGUAUACAUUGUGAGAAAUAAUGGUUCAGUUCCAUUGUUGUAGUGACAUACAUACUAAGAUAGAUAAAAAGUGUGUGUAUAGAAAGAGCAAGUGCAUACGUGUGAACGUGUUGCGUAUGUAUGUAUGUGAAAGCAAAGGUUAGCCAUCACUCACAAGCGAGCAGGACCUAGUAGCUUGUAACAUGCUUUCCCUACUUGUUUUAGGCUCCUGUGUAGCUGCAAAAAGACAUAGACACUGUUCAGUCCUCCUCCAAUUGACCUAGUUGAAUACUGAGGAUGUGACAGCUAGUGAGAUAGAGAGCUAUGGGAACUGGGUGGUUGAUACACAGGAUAUCCCACUUACAGUUGGUUUUAAACUCCUUUAUUAUAAAUUCAUUAUCAGCAACAAAAGCAGUAUUAGUUUAGGAUAGCAGUCUGUAUACCUUAAUUAAUGUAUAUAUAUUGUAAAAAAGCCACAAUACUGCAGUAUUUGUCUUGAGAAAGCAUUUCAUAUAGAUGUAUUGUGCUAAAACGCUACUGAUAUUUCUCUGUUUUUCAGCACUAUACAUCUGUAUGAGCUGCUUUAUCAAGACAAAUGCUGUAGUACUGUGGAUUUCUUUCAGUAUAUCUUUGUUAAAUAAGAUAUACAAAUUGUUGUUGUUUCAUUAUAAUCUAGAGAACUACUAGAGAAAGCUGGGGCGAAAGAGUACAACAGGGGUCACUACCACCCCCUGCCAGAGCCUCGUGGAGCUUUAGGUGUUUUCACUCAAUAAACACACACAAUGCCCAGUUUGGGAAUCGAAACCACGAUCCCCCGACCGCGAGUCCGCUUUCCUAACCACUGGGCCAUUGCACCUCCACUUUAAUUAAUAGUUCAAACAAUAUAUCAAAAGUGUUUAUUCAUCAAAAUAUAACCCAUCAAAUUCUACUGUCUGUUGUCAUUGUUGUGCCAGAAGCUCAAUUCCUUGCUUAUACCAUUUGACUGGUUUACUGGUAAAAACACUCCCCACACCUGUUUUUAACCUCAUUCACAUUGUUGAACCUCCAUCUAUGCAGGAAAUGAGCCAUGGUUCAGAAAAGGCAGUAAUCUGAUGAUGCAAGCUCUGGACUGUUGGGAGGGUGAAGCAGCACUUCCUGCCCCACAGGUUCCUAAAGAUUGCACUUGGUUACAUUGGUAGUGUGUGCUAGGCAUUUCAUGCUGCAGGAGUGCACAUCUUUGAUUAACCAAUGCUGGGUUGUGAGAUUUCAAAGCAUCAUGUAUGGUUGUUGAGCAUAAAAGUUGGCAUUCACAGUAUGACCAUCUGAGACAAGCUCAAAGUGCAACAGCAACACCCAUUUGAAAUUCUAGUAAACACACAACUUGACCUUGUUCGAACCACACUUAAUUAGCAAUAAGUUCUGAAGUCUUCCAUAACAAAGCUGAUUUCUCUUGUUAGAAUUAUGAAAAUAGAUUCAUUUUUCAUCUCCAGUUACUAUUUUGUUUCGUUAUUGCCCACAAGGGGCUAAACAUAGAGGGGACAAACAAGGACAGACAAAGGGAUUAAGUCGAUUACAUUGACCCCAGAGUAUAAUUGCUACUUAAUUUAUUGACCUUGAAAGGAUGAAAGGCAAAGUUGACCUCAGUGGAAUUUGAACUCAGAACAUAACGGCAGACGAAAUACCGCUAAGCAUUUCGUCCGGCGUGCUAACAUUUCUGCCAGCUCACUGCCUUGUCUCCAGUUACUAUUUGACACCAAAAAUGGGCAUCUCAAGGGUUUGCCAGCAGUUGUCUGCAAAAUAUUCAUACAUUGUUGAGCCUGGUUAUUGGUCAGUCCAUGAGGAACAUCUCAUCAGCAUCUGUUCACAAGGCGGAGCUUAUGGCAAUAUUGACUGAUGGUGCUUUGUGAAAGACCAAGUUCUGCUAACAAUGUACAAGUGCUUGUGCUUGGCUGUUGAACCAUUUCAAAUAAGGCUUCAUCUUCCACAACAGAAGGUCUCCCUGACCUUGGUUUCUCUUUGAAAUUAAUGUCACCUUCCUUGUAUCCUCUAAACCAGCUUUGUGCCAUACAUCUGUUGACAGUUCCUGGGCCUUCCACAUCAUUAAUUCCUUUUGCUGCUGUCUUUGAACUCAGUCCUUUUUUUUUCCCUCAGGUAGCGUAAAAUGGCUCUAAUUGUAAUUUUUUCCACCACUCAUUAUCAAAACUAUAAAAUAAAGAAUAAACAAUUUAUCAACAUUUGGGCAUCAAGCAUGCCUUCAUGCUUGUCUCACCAUGGUGUCUGACAACCAGUGUUGAUUUCUUUAUGGCCCUAUAACUUGGUAGUUCAGUAAAAGAGAUCAAUAAAAUAAGUACCAGAUUAAAAAAAAAUAUAUAUUUACUGCACUCAAUUUGUGCAACUAAAUCCUUCAAGCCCAGUGAUUGAAACAAAAAUUUAUAUGCUCACACACACACACACACACACAUCCAUACACACACACACACUCUUACACACACACACAUGCUCACAAAGACACACGCACACACACUAUGUCCGUUUUUACAAUGACAUUAAUGUUUGUUAACUUGCCUGUAAGAAGGCCACUGUCCAAACCCACUUUAUUGAUUUGAUAUAAAACAAAUGGAACACGGUUUAAAUCCAUGUAAAGAAGACUUUCUUUAUAAGAACACCAUUUCCAUUGACCAUUUAUAACCGUCUGCUUUAUCAUCAUCUUCUUUGUCAUCAUAUUUGUGAUUUAUAUAUACAUACAUAUAUAUAUAUAUAUGUAUAUGUAUAAUAUGAUGAUGAUAAUGUGACAUUUGUUGCGAUUGUCACCAUUGUCAGACAUUCGUCUUCGUUGUCAUUGUCAUCGUCUCCGUUGUCAUGACUAUUUUUAUUGCUGACAUCAUUGUUUCGUCAUUGUAUUCAAUGUUUGUUAGUAACGACCGUUGUCGUAGGUUGUUUCCGAGCCAUCAUCACCGUUCAUCAUUACAGUUGUCACAUACAUCACCGUAUUCAUCUUAGUCAUCAUCAUCAUCGUCGUCGUCAUCGUCAUCUCAUGUUUGCCAUCGGUUAAUCUUGAGAUGGGGUGGGGGGGUCAGAGGAUAUCAUUAUUUAGAUCAGUGUUGUCAUUGGUUAUUACAGCCUCAAUCUUCAACACCACCACCACCACCCCAUCACCACGCAAACACACUGCCCACACCAUAAUUACUACCUUGCAUAUCUUGGUCACUGCUACUGUCACAGCAUAAUCAUUGGUGCCAACAUCAAAUAGCGCCACUAUGCCCACCAUCUCUAGCACUACCAUGCCUGUGUCACUAAAAACCACCAUUUCAAUGUCGCUAGUACCACUGCCCUUAUCUUGCUAGCACCACUGUGCACCACCACUGUGCACCAGUCUUAUUAACAUCCCACUCCCAACAUUAGUGGCAUCACCACCACCACCUCCACAAUCAUUUGCACCACCAUGACUGCCACUACCACUUGUACACCGUCACCGCUACAUGUACUCUUACCAUCACACCACAACCACUAUCACCACCAUUACCAUACCACAUUCAUUACCACCACCACCAUCAUCAUCAUCAUCGGCAUCAUUCUCUUCUAAUAAGGGAGAUUUCUGACUGCAUGUUUAACAAAUACAAUGGCAGUGUGUUGAGAACAUUGGAAAUGAAUCCAUCAGAUAGUAAUUACCAUGUUCCCUAAGGACCUUCAGUUUUCUAAUAAAGUAAUUAGCCAUGUUAGUUUUUUAACAUUUGCACAACAGACACUUCUAAAGAACACAAAAUAAUCAUCAUCAUUGCCGUUGUUGUUGUUAUUAUUAUUAUUAUUAUUAUUAUUAUUAUUACUUGGAGUUACCAGGUUUCGAUGUGUCUUUUGCGAGCUCAUGUUUAACCCUUUAGCAUUUAAACCGGCCAUAUCCGGCCAGAAGUAUUCUGCCUGUUUUAUGUUCAAACUGACCAGAUCUGGUCUCUCACACCAACCCUACAAUAUCGUUUUAAAAAUUAACAGCUACCUUAUCAAAAUCUCAUAGCUACAAGAUAAUGCAUGAUUAGUUCAAAACAAUGUGGAUGAAUAAGCAUUAAUUUUGGUGGAAUAAUGCAAACACUAAAGGGUUAAGAGAAAAAAAAGCAAUAAUGGAUUACUUUAUGAAUCAGAUGUUGUUUUUUUUUUGUUGUUGCACUUGUUGUCAUAUACAGAGGAGCCUUUCUUUUAGUAUUUUGGUUUCUGCCCAUUUAGUAGAAAAAAAAGACUUUUGCAUUUGAAUUUUUUUGCUGCCAGAUAAUUUUUUAAAACAAGGUCUGUAAAAAUGAUAUCCACUAAAGUGGCUGUAGGAGGAGGAGGAGGCUCUGGCAGAAGUGGUAUUAUUAUCUAACUUGUUCUGCCAACAUUCCUGGCUUUUUGUUGUCAACUCUUAGCUGUUUUUAUUUUUUUUUAAAGUUGGGGGUAUUUUUAUUCCUUUAAACUGUACAUAAGAAAUGUAAAAAAAAAACACCACCAAAUUUUCGUUCAGAUAGUUUCAUUUGAAGAGGUGAAAAUAACAUUCAGAUACUCACACACACACACACACAUGUGCACACACAUAAUGUAGCAGACAACUAAAAUAAUUUACAGGAAGAACACAAAAGACAUACGAAAGGACACAAACAUGCUCUUCUCCUUAUCGGUUGUCAAACAUCAUCACAAUUUCACCAUGCACAUAUACAUGCAUGUGUGUGUGUGUAUGUAUGUAUGUAUACUUACAAAAAUACAUGCAUUCAUAUAUAUAUAUAUAUAUAUAUAUAUAUAUAAUGGAUAAGAAUAUAUCUAAAGAUAUAUAACAGAUCAGUGCUCAGACUGGAUCAAAUGGAAUCUAGACCAACAAGUGUAGGCUACAGGCAAUAUACCAGUUGGGCGAAUGAAAAUAUAAUAAAAUAUGUAGAUAUAUAUAUAUAUAUAUAUAUAGAAUAGGCAGUUUCCAUCUACCAUUUCCACUCACAAGAAAUUGGUUGGCUCAAGGCUAUGGUGGAAGGCACUUGCCAUUGGAAUUGUGAUUGGUCAGUAAUCUUCAUGUGGAAUUUUUGUGGUCAACAAGCCAUGGGGUUGUCUUUUGAUGCUUCUUGAUGCUGUGUAGUGAAUGGUUGGAACCAGUUCACCUUAGCCCAGGUGAACAUUAACUAAACCCAGUACAUUACAAUCUCUAACCUACAAAUGAGUUCUCCAUAUUCUAUCCAUCCUAAUGCUUUUAUGAUAGAUUCAGUUAAUCUGAACUUGCUUUCACAAAUGAAUUUUGUUGAAGCAAAUCCUUUUUUCCAAAUUUACUGAAUAUUUGAAGAUAAUAGCCACAGGCGUGGUUGUGUUGUCAAAAAGUUUACUUCCCAGCCACAGAGUUUCAUGUUCAGUUCACUGUAUUACACAAGGAGCGGGGGUGGGGAGCAAAUGACAUAUACUAUAGCCCUAGGUCAAGCAAAGCCUUAUGAAUGGAUUUGGUUGAUGGAAACUAAAAGAAGCCCAUUGUGUGUGUAUGUAUGUGUGUGUGUGUGUGUAUGUAUGUGUGUGUGUGUAUGUGUAUGUGAGAGCAUGUGAAAAUUUGUGCCUCCUUGUCUUGACAUUGCAUCAUAGUUGUAAACAAGUGUCACUUUCAUACAAGCCGUGUCGUUCAUUUCCAGUAUUGCAUAAAAACAUGUCUGGUAAAGGGUAAAUAUUACCUUGCUUGGAAACAAGUGGGGGCUGGUGAUAGGAAGGGCAUCCAGCUGUAAAACAUCUGCCUCAGUAAACUCUGGCCGACCCAUGCAAGCAUGGAAAAGUAGAUGUUAAAAUGAUGAUUAAUCCUAUGCAGAUUCUCAUUUAACUACCCUUAGGUGGAUUCUAAUGAUAAGCAGUGACUUUUUGUUUUUUAAUGCUGAAGCAUGAAUAAGAUUGACUGCAAAUGAGAGGUGUCAACCAGUUUAUCAAAUCCCUGUUCUUUAACCCUGAGAUCAGCUUUGGUCAGAGGCGUUACAGCUAUAAUUAGGUCAGGGACUAUAAAUUGUCAUAUAUCCUUCUUUUAAAGAUAAUAGGGUGUGAUUUGAGGGAAAUCUAGCUGCUAUUUCUAAUAGGCCAAGCAGCUACAUAAAGACUCUUGUCUCACAGCCAUGUAGUACAAUGAAAACUUUUGCUGUUUGUUCUUGUUCAAUUUUGUUUGAGUUAAUCUCCCAGGAAAGGUCUGUUAGUGAAGACAGAUUAAAUUUGUUCUGGAAGAGAAAGCAAGCUUGAUACUUCGAGACUAAUUAAUUUGUUUCUGCCGUUGUCUUCUGUGAAUGGAAUGUUGUUCUUAGAUGCUUUUGUGCUUGACCAGUUGGAUUGCAGAUUAGUGGAUAGCACUGAAGUCAGUCGUUUCAUUUAUCUUCUGUGAUUCAAUCAAAACACAACGAAGGUGAGAAAUAGCUCUGACAUGUGGGUGUAGGUAGUUGUUUUUUAAAAAAAAUUUUUGUUUACAUGGGACUGCUUAUAAAUUUUAAGGUGGUAUUGAUCAAGUGAUUAAGGCACAUAACAGUGCAUAUUGUGUUUUUGAGUUCAAAUCUUAUUCGUACAAAUAUAAUGAUGUUUCUGUGAGCAGAGCACAAAAUUCUGCUUCCUACAGUUUACUUGAAUUAUUCCACCAAAAAAAAAAAAACCUUCUCUGACUUCACAGUUGGUUGGUAACCAGUUGCUCCAAGCAUGGAAAAAAUGUUUUACAGUAAAUAAGUAUAUAUAAAACCUAAAAAAAAAAAUUAAUUUAACCAGGACUUUUCUUUUAUAUGUCUUAUGUAGCUGAUGUGAGGAUGAUGAUGCAUAUCUAAUUGUGCACAUAUCACCAGCAUAAUAAAAAAAAUUCAAAUUAAAAAAAUCACCUGAAUAUUUAGGGGUCGUAGUUUGUGAUACCAAAAUGUGAACUGAACUGCUGACUCCUUGCCACUCCACAUUUAGUCAUCCCUCCCAAAUAACCAGAUAGAUAGGCCCAGAACAACACAACAGCAAUCUUAACACUUACCACUCAUUUCUAACAAACAUGAAAACUAUGGCGUAAGGGCGGCUGAGUGGUAAGUAGCUUGCUUACCAACCACAUGGUUCCGGGUUCAGUCCCACUGCAUGGCACCUUGGGCAAGUGACUUCUACUAUAGCCUCAGGCUAACCAAAGCCUUGUGAGUGGAUUUGGUAGACAGAAACUGAAAGAAGCCUGUCGUAUACAUGAAUAUAUAUGUAUGUAUAUAUAUGUAUAUAUAUAUAUAUAUAUAUGUAUAUAUAUAUAUAUAUAUAUAUAUAUAUAUAUGUAUGGAAAACGGACGCUAAACGAUGAUGAUGAUGAUGAUGUAUAUGUUUGUGUGUCUGUGUUUAUCCCCCCAACAUCGCUUGACAACCAAUGCUGGUGUGUUUAUAUCCCCGUAACCUAGCGGUUCAGCAAAAGAGACUGAUAGAAUAAGUACUAGGCUCACAAAGAGUAAGUCCUGGGGUCGAUUUGCUUGACUAAAGGUGGUGCUCCAGCAUGGCCACAGUCAAAUUACUGAAACAAGUAAAAAAAGGAGCAUGAACACGAGAAAUAUCAUUCAUAUUUGCCUCAAAUUAAUUCCAUCAUUAAAAUUUUGUGUCCUUAUUCCAUGCUGAGAUGGAUAGGACAGUUUGACAGGAUCCAACAAUCUCGAGAACUAGAUUAUGCUCCAUAAUCAACUCUUAACUCUGACACGGUUUCUACAACUGGAUGCCCUUCCUAACUCCAACCACUUUACAGUGUGUACUGGGUGCUCUUUCUCUUUUUGUGACACCAGCAUCAGUGAGGUCGCAAAAACCAUGAACCUUGACAGAGGUAGCUUUAUGCUGGAGCAGAAUGAUUUCUUGCUGUAGCAGAGCUACAUGGCUUUUCACGAUUUAGGAGAGAGGGUGGGGAUGAUUGAAGUACAACUGAGGAGAGAUAAAAAUAGUGGUAAUGAGGGUGUUUGUGUGGACCCUCAUGGUAUGAGGUGAAUAGGAGGGAAUGAGAAAAAUGGAAUAUAUGUUGUCAGAAUAAAGAUGGGAACAGUGGCGGCAUCAUCUUUGAUUUGGACUCAGCUCAGUCAAAAAAUGACCUGGGGCUAUAUCUUCAUAUGUAUUUGAAUAAAAGACAACCUAAACUACUCCAAUAUAAACAGGGACCGUCUUUGAUCCCUGUUUCACUGACACAAUAAGCUACCCCUGGAAAUGGAGAUUUAAAAGAAUUUUUUUUUUUACUGCAAUCAGAAGAAAUAUUGAGCUCUGGCUUAGAACUCCAAUCUGUCUUUUAACAAUUCUGAAACUGGCUCUUUUCCAGCUGACCAUGUAUUUUAGGUCAAUAGUUCUUAAACUGCAAAAAUAAAAUUCAUUUAACAAAAAUAAAAAAAUACAAGCUGAAAUUCACGUUGCUCCAGUUCACCCAGCUGUAGAAAUGAAGAAAUGAGUUGUGAUGUCACUGGUGCCAAACAGUAUCACCCUUUGCCUUUUUCUUGGAUAACAUCGGUGAAGUUCCAGGUGUGAAAGGAGGGAUUAGAAUCGAGGGGCCUUAGAGUCAACUUAACUAAAACCAAAGUACUAAUAAGUAGGAAGGUAGACAAACCACAAAUGCCAUCAGGUAGAUGGUCCUGCUCGAUCUGUAGAAAAGGUGUAAGUAGAAACUCUAUAAGAUGUACCCAGUGUAAGCUAUGGACACAUAAGAGGUGCAGCAAUGUCAAAGGAAGGCUAACUGGGAAGAUAGUUUUUGUAUGUGGCAGAUGCUCAGGAGCAAUAAACUCUGAAAAUCUGCAGAAAACAACUUCCGUCACUUUCCAGGGGGAAAAACUAAAAGUAGUUGAUAGCUUCCGUUAUCUAGGUGACCAAGUCAGUAGUGGGGGUGGGUGUGCUGAAAGUGUAACUGCUAGAGUAAGAAUAGCCUGGGCAAAGUUCAGGGAGCUCUUACCUCUGCUGGUGACUAAAGGCCUCUCGCUCAGAGUAAAAGGCAGACUGUAUGAUGCAUGUGUACGAACAGCCAUGCUACAUGGCAGUGAAACAUGGGCCAUGACUGCUGAGGACAUGCGUAAGCUCGCGAGGAAUGAAGCCAGUAUGCUCCGAUGGAUGUGUAAUGUCAGUGUGCAUACUCGACAGUGUUAGUACCUUGAGAGAAAUGUUGGACCUAAGAAGCAUCAGCUGUGGUGUGCAAGAGAGACGAUUGCGCUGGUAUGGAUGAAGAUAGGUGUGUGAAAAAGUUCCAAUCCCUAGCAGUUGAGGGAACCCGUGGAAGAGAUAGACCCAGGAAAACCUGGGACGAGGUGGUGAAGCACGACCUUCGAACUUUAGGCCUCACCAAGGCAAUGACCAGCGACCGAGACCUUUGGAAAUAUGCUGUGUGUGAGAAGACCAGACAGGACAAGUGAGUCCAGCCCACUUAUGCAUGUCUUUCCUCCCUUGGGCACACAAAGACCUGUUGAGGCAAGCGAAGUCGAAAUUGAACCUCAUCCGACGACAGGCACCCAUGCCAACCUCCCUUCAUUGGACACUAAACUCUGCUUGAGAAGACCUGUUGGGGCAAGUGAAAUCGGAAUCGGAAUCGAAAUUGAACCAAUCCUAUGACUGGCACCCGGCAGUUGCCAGGACCGCUGGACUGACUCCUGUGCAGGUGGCAAGUGAAGAAACACCAUUUCGACCCUGUGCUUGAGGAGAUCCAUUGAGUCAAGUACACCGACAUCAAAAUCAAUGGAAACUGCAGUUGUGAUCCCUGAGCCGGUGGCACGUAAACAGCACCAUCUGAAGGUGGCGAUGCCAUCGCCGCCUAGACUGGCUUCCAUGCCGGUGGCACGUAAAAAGCGCUAUCCGAAUCGUGGCCGAUGCCAGCAUCGUCUCGACUGGCUUCCGUGCCGGUGGCACGUAAAAAGCACCAUCCGAAUCGUGGCCGAUGCCAGUGCCGCCUCGACUGGCUUCCGUGCUGGUGGCACGUAAAAUGCACCAAUCCGACCGUGGCCGUUGCCAGCCUCACCUGGCACCUGUGCAGUUGGCACGUAAAAAGCACCCACUACACUCAUGGAGUGGUUGGCGUUAGGAAGAGCAUCCAGCUGUAGAAACACUGCCAGAUCAGACUGGAGCCUGGUGCAGCCUUCUGGCUUCCCAGAUCCCCAGUCGAACCGUCCAAACCAUGCUAGCAUGGAGAACGGACGUUAAACGAUGAUGAUGAUAUAAAACAGUGACACAUAAUUUAGUCCAGGUGGAUCAACAUUGGUCCAUACCAAAGUUUUCGUUUUCUACUGUGGGUUUUAUGUUUUAUGUUGCAUAAUGCAAUUAAAAGUAAAUUUAUAUUAGGUACAGGCAUGGCUGUAUGAUUAAGAAGUUUACUUCCCAACCAUGGUCGUUUCAGGUUCAAUCUCACUGUGCAGUAUCUGGGCAUGUGUCUUUAACUAUAGCCCUAGUGGAUUUGGUGUAUGGAAACUGAAAGGAGCCUGUCAUGUAUGUAUCUAUGCAUGUGUGUAUAUAUAUAUAUAUAUAUAUAUAGUUAACAUCCAUGUUCUGUAUAUGUAUAUGGCUGCAUGUAUGUGUUUCUCUCUCCCUUCUCUACCUUUCUCUAUCUUUGCUUGUGCGAUUGUUGUAAAUGAGUGUCACUGUCAUACAAGUGGUGUCGUACAGCAAAACAGCUGUAGAAAAUCUGUCUCAAUAAAUUUCUGUCCCCCCUCAUAUUCUUUUUGUUCCUAGUAAAGGGUACUGUGUGUAGAAAAAUACAAGAGACUCACUGCUGCAGAAAAUAUCUGUAGAUUGUUCAUUGCUACAUGAGUUAAAUUAAUCUAUAAGUCUGCAGAUCUGUGUGUAUGUUGUUUAGUGACUUUAUACACACACAUUUAUAUAUUGAUUGUUUAUUUACUCUGGUAAAUAAAAUAUGAUUUCCCUCGCCAACAAAGAGAACAUCUAUGCAAUCAGUCAACAUACUAGAAAUAACAACCAAAUCUCUGUCAAAUUAACAUGGCUGUCUUAGAAAUGAAAAUAAAAAACAGGGUGGUCACAGAUGGAAUGAUUUUGAUUACAAUUCUGUUCAAUCUGAUGUCCUCUUAUUAACUGUGGAAUGAUUAUCAUCAUCAUCAUUGUCGUCAUCGUCGUCGUUUAACGUCUGUUUUCCAUGCUGGCAUGGGUUGGACGGUUAUGUUACUUAAUAUUUAUGGUUUUUAUUAUUCAGUAUAUCUCCUCUUUAAGAGUCAGUCAUUUGAGGGAGAUUUGGCUGCUAUAUUUUCAUGUUGACCAUGUAGAUACUCUCUUGUUGAUUCCUUAUAGUGCUUCUUGCAUAUGAUUUCCAUUUUAGAAAUGUAAAAGGUGAUAUUAGUGAAAGAUUUGGCUGCUCAUUUGAAUUGCAUAUAACUCCAUAAAGUCAGUCUCCUUCGCUGUCCUGUCUAUGUCGAUGCCACUAGAGAUGAACAUUAAAGAACUACAUAGCAAAGCAAACACAACACACUCUGAUUGCUACACCACAAUACAUGACAGUCUACAAUACACAAAAGCAGGUGGGGUUUACAUAAAUCAAAGGGAGACACAGCCACAUUAAAGGAUAUAACAAAGGAUGUAUAAUAGAAAUUAGAGAAAUAAGUAAUUAACAAUGAUGUUAAUUGUAAUAGUAAAGAAAGUUGAUCAAGAUUCAAGGUAAAGUGAAAAAAAAAAUAAUUUUGAACGUUGUAUGUUAAUCGUUACACAAUCUAGUUUGCAGAGGUGUUGGUGAUAUAACAAAUCGAAUAGUUGUUCGCAUUAAUUAUUAUCAUACAUUUUGAUUAAAAAGAAAAUAAAAAUGGGUUAAUACUUUCAUGUUAACCUUAUAUUAUCUGAUAGAGUGUCAAGUUGACAUCUCUAUCUGUCGACAGUCAUUUGGUGUUCUUUGUGUGGUGGAUGUCGAUCAGUCUUGUUUGCAGCCCUCAUUUUGUCCGAAUGAGUAGAAGUCAAUGUGGACAAGUUAAUAAAGUGUUAGACAUUUCACAAAAGAAAAAACUGGUUUAGUAUUUAUUUAUAAUCAGUUAUGUUUUCAGUCAACUGUUUGAUAAUGUAAAGCUAAAAUGCCGUGAAGCAGCAUUUCAGUUUCGUUACCCAAAGCACGUAUGUUUGAUUGCAUCAUAAUAGACAGACAUCAAGUUUGUUUCAUCACUUCAUUUAACAUCCGUUUUCCAUACUGGCAUGGGCUGGAUGGUUCAACAGGCUGGCAAGUCAGAAGACUGCACCAAACCCUACUGCCUACUUCAGCACAGUUUCUCUGGCUGAAUGCCUUUCCUAACACAACCACUUUACAAACUGAACUGGUUUUAUAUUUACAACUAUUUUAAAGUUAUAAAACCCUCCAAUUAUAUAUUUUUAAAAUUUGGUUUGCAAGAGUUUUGAUCUGAAAAUUAUGAGUUGAAAACACAAUUUGUUAUAUUUGAGAAGUCAUAAUUGAAAAAAAAACACCUAUAAGCACGCUAAUCAGUUGUUGCUUGCCUAUAUUUCACUGCUCUUUCAUUUUCAAAACUGCCGAUGCUUGUUUAUGUUUUUCAAAAUAUUUUUUGCUCCACUAAUCUGUAGCUUUCUCAAUAGAAAAAUCAAAUAUUGACAAACAACAACUGGCUACGAUGAUGAAUGCUUGAGUUGAUUCAAUCAAUGGAACAACCUGCUCAUGAAAUUAACAUGAAAGUGACUGAGCACUCUGCAGACAGGUGUACCUUGAAUGUAGUUCCCAGGGAAAUUCAGUGUGACACAGAAUAUGACAAGGUUAGCUUGUCAGCUGGGUGGGCUGGAGUAACAUGAAAUAAAAUGUUUUACUGAAGGAUACAGUGUGUUACUGAGAAUCAAGCACAUGACCUUACAAUCGUGAAGUAAAUACCCUAACUACUAAGCUACAAUUUGUAUAAAUCUAAGUAGCCCCCUGUGAAUUAUACCAUUCUUGGGUGGAAUCAAGCUUCUGUCGUUCUCUAGUUUGAAGCCAACAAAUAUUACAAAUGGGAGAAAGGAUCAACAUCAUGAAUUAAGACAUUGAAUAUUUGCAGUACUGUGUAGUAAAGUUGUAAAACCAAAAGAAAUUGAGGUUUUUUUUUUGUUUUUCAAUUUCUAUAAAACUAAUUAAUUCUACUGCUCAUGCUAACACACACACACACACAUACAGUACACAUACACACACACACAUACACGUGCACGUCCUUUAGGAGAGUCCUCGAUUCACUGACUCAGUAAGUAAACCAUUAUCUCUCCUGUGUUUGACUGUUUCCACUGUGAGUAACAGUAGGUCAUCUAAGGUUAAAUAUCUGUAAAUACCAUGACAGUCUACUUUGUAACUGUAAUUAAUUUAAUGCAAGCCAGCAGUUCUUAGUAAUUGACUAAAGUGAUUCAAUGUUUUAAUUUAAAAAAGUAAAAAGUUUAAAAGACAUUGACAUAAACACAAAGCAAAAAAAGCAAUUUAACUGUCCAGAACCAACCCAAUAAAAUUUUUCUUUAACACAUAUCUUUUUCUAAGAAAUUCCAUUCAUUCGGAGCCUAAGAAUCUCUGUGUUGACCUUUUGAAUAAUUGUCUUUUUUUAAAUCAAUUCUUAUUCACGGUGUAAUUUAGAUGUGGCUGACUGGACUUUAGUUCCAAAUCCAAGUGCCAUAAGGUAUACAUAAGCUCUUAGCAACUUGAAAUUGGCCUGCAGACUCAGGCAGCAUGUCAUUCAUAUCACUGAAGUUCUUGACAGGUGCAAUCCCAUGGUCAGUCAUGACUGAAGGUGGUCUCAAAAUUCCAUACUGUUAUCAGCUGGAUGGUUUGACAGGAUCCAACAGAUUAGAGAACCAUGCCUUACUGCAAUGUCACAGUUUUGGCAUUGUUUCUACAGCUGGAUGCCCUUUUCAUUACCAAUCACUUUAUAUGGUAUACUGGAUACAUUUGUUUUUUUUUUUCUUUUGUGGCACCAGCACCAUAAAGGUUGUCUUACUAUCAGCAAGAUUAACGAACCCUCUCAAACUCUGCAUCAGCAUCAUCACAGCUCUAUUUGACUUACCAACCAUUUACUGAGUGUACUGCAUGCUUUUUAGUGGCACCAGCACUAGUGGGGUGUCCUUGUAUCUCCCAAGGCGAAAGAGAUGAAUGGAACAGAUUUAUUGUCAUGCUGCUCUCUUGCAAGACACAUAUUUCUGUUCCUCUAUUCAUAACUUCUCAUCACCCGUCACUAAGCCACCUCCCUCAAUACUGUUCCCACUUCAGUUUAGGGGUUUUGUCUUGCAAGUUACUUGCUGAUCUCACUAUUUCUGGUAUCACAUAAAAAAGCAUCCAUUACACUCUGUAAAGUGGUUGUCAUUAGGAAGGGCAUGGAACCAUAGAAACUAUGCAAAAGCCAACAGUGGUGCUUGGCACAGCCUUCUGACCUGCCAGCUCCUGUCAAACCAUCCAACCAUGCCAGCAUGGAGGGAGGAUGUUAAAAGAUGAUGAUGAUGAUGAGAGGAUGGUAGCAGAGGAAGUAAGGAUGUUGUUUUUAAGUAUUUUUACUCGUUCAAAAAAUUAUUUAUUUUGAUUUAUCUGGUGAAAGCAAAAUUAUAUUUUCUUUUUAUUUUCUGUCAGUCUGUUUACUAAAAGAUCAGUAGCGUUGUUCGUAAACCUUUGUUAUCAAUAGCCGUCUGUCUUACCUACAAAAGAGAACUAUAUCAGCCAAAGGAGAAACUUGCGUUAACAUUAAAGACUCCUGCUUUGAUCAAAAAGACAGAAAGUCAUCAUCUUGAAAUAUUUGACCUUAAACAAACUUCAGUCUUGCAUAGAGAAGUGUGGGGAUGUGGUGUAAGGUGGAGGAUUGGCAGUACUUGUUAUCGUUUGAAGAUCCCAGACUUGUAAAAUCAAUAUAGUUGGUGUGCAAUUUGAACUGCUGAAGAUUAAUCGUUUAGCAUUUAAACCAGCAAAACCUGGCCAAAAUAUUCUACCCAUUUUAUGUACACAGUGGCCAGAUUUGACUUCUCACACCAACCCUAUAAUGUCAUUCUAAAAAUUAACAGUUAACUCAUCAAAAUCUCAAAGCUACAAGAUAAUGAACGAUUAAUUAAAAACAAUAUGAAUAAACUCAUAUUACUUUUGACAGAAAAAUGUGAAUGCUAAAGGUUAACAAAAACUUUGUAUGUGGUGUCGGUUGUAGGGCAGUGCUAAGGUGUAAGGUCUUUGCUUUUUUUUUUGAGAGGGAAGAUUUGAAAAUGUUUUUUUUUUUACUUAGGGCAGAGUUUCCUGCAAGUGAGGAAAAUUAAUAGUGAUGAGUUAAGAAACAGCUGGAACAUGAGAUGGAUGGAAAUAAAUGGAGUCUGGUAGUUCAAAGAUGAAGCUGCUAUAUUUGUAGGUGGAGACUGGAGAAAACUUAGCAUGCUUGUGAAUUAGUGGAUAUUAACCUUUGGCACACUUAGGUGCAUCAUCACUGUACAAAUUUUCUCCCCUUUAGCUGUAGGCACAAAGUGUCACAUUGAGAGAAAAGCAAACUUAUAUGGCAAAUUGAUGCACUUACAGCAUGCUAAAGGUUAAGACAUGGACUACAUUGUGUGUUAACGUCUUUUUAACAGAACAUCGUCUGGUUGAGCUUGCUUAAACAUUUUUAACGCAUGCAUGUUAUCCAUUUCAAUCCUGUAUUUGUUGAGGGAGGUUUUUGGGGAGCCAUCCAGUGUCUCUGGUAGCUGAUCUACAUAUGUUGUGUUCAGAUGGACAUUGUUGUAGAGCUGAAAAAGAAGUAAUUUCUACUCUUCUCCUCUGGAAGCCAUCUACUCGCAAUACCAGAGGGCGCACACUCUCCUACCCUGAUGUAAUCUCCAGGGAUACAGGCAUCCAGUAACAGGACCUCCGUAAUGCUAUGAUGGACCGUGAAGUCUGGCGUAACAUAGUAAAUUCCAUUGUCUCGACCACGGUCGAACAAUGAUGAUGAUGAUCAGAUGACCUGAGUACAGCUAUGCUUUGGCAUCCAUAGAAGUAGGUCACUUGCUAACUCUUGUUUAGCUUACCAUCCAGUAACUCAUCAUUCACUGACUGAUGGUAGAUACAGACAGGAGAUCUCCAUACAGCUGUUUCUUGUCAAGAUGAGUUCUCCAAGACAUGUUGAAGACUGCUCACCAUCCCAGAUAAUGUGAUCAGUACUCAGUGGAUAAUAAUUUUGAGCUUUUUAAAGGGUUAGCAAUCAAUCACGGAAAAAUUAUAACAAAUUACUUGAGAUUAUAGUGUAAAGGUGUUUGAGCCUAGAAUGUAACUGCAAUUAUAUAGUGGACAACAAAUUCUGCCAUCUGUUAUUCCUAUUUUGUAUUAAUAAAUUGUAAUAUUGGUGUAAAAGUUUUCCAGCAGUGGGCAUGAGCAAUGACAUAUGUCUGCUGUUUCUGACAAUGUGAAAGAUCAGUUAAUGAUAAUCUUAGCCAAAACUGAAUUAACCCACCUUAAAUAGUCCUUUUUGCAGCCCAAGAGUCUUGUCCCACCUAAGUUUUCCUGGGUCAGAGGAAGACAUGGUCAGCAAAUCUGAGGGAGACAAAUGGGUACAGGUCUUGCCAGUCAGUCAGUAAUGCUAAACUCAAAAGUCUUAAUGGGUGCCUCCACUCCACUUGUAAGUUCAGUGGAAGAUCAUUGACUCCUUGUUGAGUUCAUCCACUCUUAUAGGCAGUUUUACAUCCAAUCAAUGUGUCCAUUGACCCUGCACUCAGAAAAGUGAGAGCUUAGAGUAGUGAUUAUGGGUUAAUCACUGAUAGCCUGUCUAUAAAACAGGCUGUAUUAGUUUAUAUGAUUGCUAGUAGCAGGUCAUUUUUCAAGUGUGAUUAUGUUGAACCUCCUCCAAAUAUUUCUUGGAAUUCAAAUUGAAAUCUUGGCAAACCUUUCCAAACUGUCAGCUAUUCAAAAUCUGAUGAGAUGGUUGGUUGUGUAAGUCAUAUAAUGCAAUUCAUGUUAUGUAAUCCCAUAUUAUGCAAUGCAUUGUAAAUAAACAGCCAUGCUACUGAAAUCUAUGUAACAUAAUUUGAAUGAAAACUAUACUCUAUUUAUGUUCUUUUAUUACUACUUUUGCACUAUAUGACAUGUACAGUAAGUAUUGUUAUACACAGUUUGCCUAAGACAUGCCUGAGUGCUGGUCAUUUUUGGUACCUGUUUUAUAGACUCUCUCCCUCACCAUUCCCCAGGAGAAUGAAAAUCAAAAACUCAAUCCUUGUGGGAUUAGAACUCAGAACGUACAGAGUGAAAUUAAAUAACUGUAGAUACACAAUAGUGAAUGAGUUAAAUUUACUAGUGUGGAAGAAUAGAGAACUGGGUAGAGGGCCUGUUAACGUAGACCUUCAAAUUUUUAUUCGCUCAUUAAAUCCAUAAUUAUCGUUUAUUGUGUUUACAUUUGUUUGAGAGUGAUUUUUUUUAUAUUCCUUUUUUUAUCAUUAUUCCUAUUUAUUAAGGCAAUGGGCUGGCAGAGUUGUUAGCACACCAGGCACAAUGCUGAGUGGCAUUUCUCCUGGCCGUUUCUCUUCUGAGUUCAAAUUCUGUCUAGUUUGAUUUUUGCCUUUCAUCCAUGCAGGGGCAAUAAAAUAAAGUACCAUUUGAGCACCGGGGUCGAUGUAAUUGACUUAAACACCUUUCCUUUAAAUUGCUUAUUCCAAAAUUUGAAGCCACUUAUUUUUAUCAUCAUCAUCAUCAUUAUUAUUAUUAUUAUUAUCAUUUUCUUUUUCUUUUUUUGUUUCACUUCUUUUCCAGGAAUGUAUCGAUAAUUGAUCUUUUUCAAAAGUAAGCCUGCUAGUUUUCCAUUUUGCUCCUUACUCACUUCACUCUCCCUCUCUGCUUGUCCAACAACUUAAUGUUUUUAUUGUUGCUUAUUUCUCUCUGUCUGUUUGUCUCUCUCUCUCUCUCUCUCUCCCACACACUUCUGACAAUUCGAAUGGGUUUUCUUGUAGGUUAAUUUUUCUUUAUCUUUUUUUUAAAAAAAACCCUUAUUUUUUUUUCGUUUCUUCUCAACUUUGAACCUUUUAUUUUUAAUCCAUUUUCUUCUUUAUUUUAUAUUUUUCCUUUUUUAUCCUUUUCUCCCCUCUUAUUUAAUGCUUUUUUCCCACUUUUUAAAUAUUUUUUCUCUUUUUUUUUUUAAUAGAAUUAAAUUAUUUUGAAAUUAAAAUUUAAAAAGAGAAAUUAAUCUUAAUUUUGUUAAAUAUGUUUCUUAUUUGUUUUUGCUCACUUUUCUGUAUUUUGUCCAACUUUUGUUUAAUGUAAUUAUGUAGUUCCACUUUUGUUUUCUUUAUUUUGUUUACAUUUCUCUAACAAAUGGAGCAACCAAUACCUUCUUCUUCUUCACUCUCUUGCUUUCAUUUUCUCUUUCCCCCUACAUUCUCCUUCUUUGUCUCUUCCUAUUUUCUCUUUGUUCCCCUUUUUCUCCCUAUUCUUCAUUUUAUCUCUACUCUCUCUAUCUCUCUCUCCUCUUUCACAUUUCUUUUUCCCCUUUCUCUCUGUUCCCUGUCUUGUUUUUCUUUUCUCUUCCCCUUCUCUCUCUGUUACUCUUCUUUCUCUAUUCUUUUCUCUCUCUCUCCCUCUCUCUCCUUCCCCUCUCUCUGUUGCUCUUCUCCCUCUCAUUCUGAUUCUAGAUUUUUCUCAUACAGUCUACUGAUGACACUGACCAUGAUGAAAAGUAAGAGUUAGAAGAAAGACCAAAAUUAAUUGGAAAUAAAAAAACAAACAAACAGUAUUUACUGAAAAUAUAUUGAUUCAUUUUUUUUUACCCUACAUACAAUAUUAUUGAUUGUAAAAAUGAAAAUAAAGCAUGUAACAAUUAUCUUUUUUAUUAGGAAAAAAAAACUCGUUAACAAUGGUGUUUGAAUUACAACACACUCUACCUUGAUUUGGUAUAUUAUCAUAGUUUUAAUGUCCACUUUUCCAUGCUUGCAUGGGCCAGAUCAAAUUUGUUGAAGAAGAUUUGAAGAUUUUCUAUGGAUGGAUGCCCUUCUAUAGAUGGAUUGCCAAGCCUUGCCUGUUUCCAAGUAAGGAAAUAUUUCCCCAUAGCCAGACGUGUUUUUCAUGGAAGAUUGGAAACAAAGAACAUGGCGUGUAUGAUGUUGACAUUCAUUUUUGUCUAUCAUGUAAUAAAAAGACAUGGACACGCACGCACAGAUAUACAACAAACUUCUUCAACCACAUGGUUCCAGAUUCAGUCCCACUGUGUGACACCUUGGCAAGUGUCUUCUACUAUAGUCUCAGGCCAACCAAAGCCUUGUCAGUGGAUUUGGUAGACUGAAACUGAAAGAAGCCCAUAAUAUGUAUAUGUGUGUGUUUGUCCCCUACCACUACUUGACAAACAGUGAUAGUAUGUUUAUAUCCCUGUAACUUAGCAACUAGGCAAAAGGGCUUGAUAGAAUAAGUACCAGGCUUUGCAAAAUACGUAAGUACUGGGGUCAGUUUCCUUAGCUAAAAUUUUUCAAGGUGGUGCCCCAGCAUGGCCGUAGUCUAAUGACUGAAACAAGUAAAAGAAAGAUAAAAGAUUUGAGUUUUUUGGAGGGGGUUGAGGAUCUGCUCCAAAAGUAAAGGCAUCUUAGAACCAAAUGAUACUGUUGAAGCUGAUCACUAUCUAGAUGCACUGCUCAAAGCAGAGGCACCCAAGAACUAGGUGGUGGGUGGUCUUAAACCAAAUGAGUUGUUAGGUCUCUUACUUUGCAUUACAACUACAGAAAUGCAAAAAUAAAAUUAAAAGUUUUCAUUGAUAAAAAAUUAAUCUCCAAAAGAAAAAUGUUUGUUACAAUAUAUUUAUGGAGUUUUUAUUAAUUUUUUUAAAAAACUCAUAAUUUAUUUCUGGUUUGUAACAUUUGAAAAAAAAAAAAGUUUCUGUUAUUACGUCAUACAGAAAAUGUUUAAAUGUCAGAAACAAUUUAAUAGUCUAUCCAUGCCAUUAGCUAAUUAAUUAGAAAUGAGUGAAUGUAAAAUACCAUGCAAUGCCAUGGUGUUAUAGUGAUGCAUAUUGGGAAAGCUGAGACUAUAUUUCACUAUUGGACUGAUGUAAGAUGAAGACACAAGGCCUAGUGGUUAGAGUGUUCAGCUUGGAAUUAAUGGUGUGGGUUCAAUUUUUGGACUGGGUAGCAUGUUGUAUUCUUGAACACUUGUUUUCAGCUGAGUAGACCAGAACAACAUGAAAUGGGGUACCAGCUGAGUGCUGGCAUGUUUCUCUUCCUCUCCAACUGUCAUAUCAUGAAUGUAGCACUGGAUCAAAGGUUGGCAGAGCUGACAGGAUGUCAUUGUCUGCUCAUGGCUACAUCAGUAUCUAAAAUCAGGGAGAGCCUACUACAUGUUACCAAGCUAUACUUGUUCAUGGUAUACUACCCACAAGGGGCUAAACACAGAGAGGACAAACAAGGACAGACAAACGGAUUAAGUCGAUUAUAUCGACCCCAGUGCGUAACUGGUACUUAUUUAAUUGACUCCGAAAGGAUGAAAGGCAAAGUCGACCUCGGCGGAAUUUGAACUCAGAACGUAAUGGCAGACGAAAUACAGCUACGCAUUUCGCCCGGCGUGCUAACAUUUCUGCCAGCUCACCACCUUUAUAAGAGACAGGUGUUCAUGGUAACACCUGUCUCUUAUAUGACUGAUUUAACCCCUUAGCAUUUGAACUGGCCAUAUCAGGCCUAAAUAUUCUAUCUUUUAUAUUCAAAUUGGCCAGAUCUAGAUGUUGACACCUCCCUUACAAUGCCAUUCCAAAAAUAAACAAUCACUUCAUAAAAAGUUCAAGGCUGUGAGAUAAUACACAAUCAAUUUAAAAAGACUGUAAAUAAAUAAGCUUUACAUUUGACAGAGUGAUCUGAAUGCUAAAGGGUUCGGGCAAUGGACGGGCAAAAUUCUUAGAGUAUUGGUCAAAGUGCUGGGUGGCAUUAGUCCUUGUCCUAAGUUUAAGUCUUACUGAUGCCAACUUUGCCUUCCCUCUAUUCGGGGUCAAUAAAAUGAAAGUACAAAGUAUGCGGUCUGGUGCAAUUGACUGUUCCUGCCAUUUACAUAAUUUUUUUAGCUUGCACCAAUGUAGAGAAUCCACAUUUCAUUGUUUUUUUUUAUUGAAACUUUUUUCAUAUAUUUAUCUUUUUUUCUCACAUUUUUCUUAUUAUUUUUACUUAUACUUCAUGGAUUUGAGGAAAGAAAAUUUUUUUUUUUACUUUGCAAAAGUACUUUUCCAAUGAAAUACUCCCAGGCUCUCAUUCCAGUUUAGCUGCACUAGUUUUCAGAAAUCUUUUUUUUUCUUUCUAUACUUCUGUAUGUUGUUUCAUCAUCAUUAUCAUCAUCAUUAUUUAAUGUCUGUUUUCCAUGCUGGCAUGGGUUGGACAGAGCUGGCAAGCAGGAGAGCUGUACCAGGUUCCAGUCUGAUUUGUCCUGGUUUCUCUGGCUGGAUACCCUUCCCAAUACCAACCAUUCUACAGAGUUGGAUGCUUUUCUAUGUGGCACUAGCACAAGUGCUUUUACCUGGUACCAGUAUAGGACUCUUGCAGGCCAAUCCUCCUCUGAUGUGGAGGUGUGUGGCUUAGUGGUUAAGGUGUUGAACUCAUGAUCGUAAGGUUGUGGUUUCAAUUCCUGGACUGAGUGAUGUGUUGUGUUCUUGAGUAAAACACUUCAUUUCAUGUUGCUCCAGUCCACUCAGCUGGCAAAAAUGAGUAAUCCUGCGACGUACUGGCGUCCCGUCCAGGUGGGGGAAUUUCUACACCACUGAAACUGGGAAACUGGCCCUUAUGAGCCUGGCAUGGCUCAAGAAGGAACAUUUAUUUAUUUUUUAUUUGCUGUGGAGGAUGGUUCUUCUUGAGUGCAGAAAGGCACUAGAUGCCUCACUCCUUUGUCAUCUCCUCCAUAUGGCUCAGUGACCUGAGGUCAUCCUUUGGUACUUUGUCUCAUCUCUUCAUAGAUUUCCCUCUUCCACAAGUUCCAUCCACUUUGUUGUUUGUUGAUGUUUAACUCCAGGUCAGUCCUGACUGAACAGAUCUAUAUUCUAAAGCAGACCAUCUAUCUUGUUUUAUGAACUCAAAACUCCUACAUUGUUGUUUCUCAUGGAGAAAUAGUAUGGCUUUUACAUUUUGAUUUGUUACUUCUUCCUGCAUGAUUUUUAUACAAGCUGACAAAGAAAACUUCUAUGCAGUUGAUCAAUCUGCUAAAAAUAGCAGCCAAUUUGUUUUUUUGAACCCUACUCUAUAAUUGUAAUUAAAAAAAUUAAAUUUAAUAAAAAACAUUGAAUAAUGUAGCUUAAGAUAUACAUUCUGAACGAAAAUAGGAAUUGUCAUGGCUAAACAUUUUUUGGUCAAAGACCUACUCUGUUAGGGCUGACACAACAACAUAUUUUUAUAUUUCCUAUUUUAUUUCCCUGAUGAUAUAGGAUGUAGCCUGGUGGAUGGUCACAGGCCUCUCCUUUGACUGUCCACACCCUGAGCCAGUGUACCAGCUAACCCCUCCCCCAAUAUAUCUUACAGGCCCUUUACCUAGCAGUAUUAUAAUGGAGUUGCACAUAAACUAAUCUGGUCUGGUUUUCACAUUUCAUGUCCUCUCCAGUUUUGCGCAGGCCUGGGCUAGAUGUAAAAAAAUCCUGGGUAGCCCAAUCGUCAGGAUUCCUCUCUUGACCUUGCUGACAUAGUCCAAAGGAGUGCAGAGCAUUAUGUUUGGCACCAGUUUGGCUGCAGGAGCUGCCAGAAGAGUGUUGAGUUGAACACUAAACUGCCCACGGAGCUCCACUCCGGAUUUCUUUGAAGGUUGUCUCCUUUCUGUAACCCUGGAUAGGGGCCGAUACCAGGUACCGUCAGUUGGAGCCAGCUGAGCCAUCAACCCUAGUACUUGUAUUUAUUUCAUCAACCCUGAAAAGAUGCAGGACAAAGUCAACCUCUGUGGAAUUUGAACUCAGAACGUAAAGACCUGGAAGAAAUGCUGCUAAGCAUUUUGUCCCACAAUCCUGCUAGCUCCCUAUCUUGAUAUUAAUAAUCCUAGUCUUAGAGAUUCUUGGGGAGGGGGCUAGUCAAUUUCAUCGACCCCCCCCCCCCAUACUCUACUGGUAGUUAUUUCAACAACCCCGAAAGAAUGAAAGGCUAAGUCCACUUCACCAGAGUUAGAACUUGGAAUGGAAUGAUGAAUGAAAUACCACUAAGCAUUUGGUCCUGUGUGCUAACAAAUUCUGCCGGUUUGCUGCCUUUCACUACCUUAACCCUUUCGUUACUAUAUUUCUGACCAAAAUACACCCCUUAUGUAUUUCAAUUAAUUUCUAACAUAAUCAUAAAUUUAGUCUGGUUUCAUUAAACUAUAACUUUUUUAUUUAUCAAUAUAUUAAUGUGAUUUUUGGAAGAUAAUUUAAUGAAAUGUUCUCAACCAAUUCUAUACUAUAAUUUUUGUCACAAAGUGACUCUAAUUGCAGGUAGAUACAGGUAAAAUAAAAAAAAUAAAAAAAUAUUAAAAUUUUUUUAAAACAUCGCUAUAGAAAAUGGGUUAUUAGCAAAUAUUCAAUUGGGUAUACAACAAAAUUUUACGAUAGAAUUUGUUAUUCUGGGUAACUUUCUGAUACCCAUAAUAAUAUUUAUGGCAAAACAGUCUUAAUUACAUUUAAGGUUGUGGGAAACCACUAACUAUCUUUUCUUUCGCUUUGUUUACAUUUAGCGUAACGGUUCGUUUCCGCCGUAAUGAUUUCAAAUAGGCUCAUUCAAAAAAGUAAAAAGAAAUAGUCUAAGGCUUUACUCUCCUGAGAAAGUCUGUGGCUUGGUCCAGUUUCUUCAGAAAAAUCACCGAAAGAAACAGUUUUUAAAUUUUCACUCCAUUCAGGUGCCAAUUCAUUUUCUUUAUCGCUGUCGGAGCUCUCGGAUUCACUGUUUUCACUUUCGGAAAAUGAAACAUCAGAUUCAUUAUCAAAUACCACGUGCUUUUUUUUUUCAGUCAUAGAGUUAGAUUUAUGAAGGUCUUCAGUAGAAAAUCCUUCGAAUUCUGACUCGCUGCUUGAUAUAAUGAAAUUCAUAUCCAUUUUUUGUCAGAAUUACAAAUUUUGAAAACUCAAUAGGAACAAAUUUCGGAAAAAAAUCUCCCAAAAUUCACGGAAUUAAAAUUACACUUCGAUCGUUGUACAAAACUGUAGAUGAACUGUUUAUGAAGUAUAAUCACGUGUUUUCGCGAAUGUACUAAAGAGAUUUGCUCUGAUAUUCUCAUUUAAAUAUGAAUAGGUAAAUAUGGGCGGGUUUGGGCGGUUUGGUCACAUUAACCAAAAUUUUUUUCAGGCGGCUUUGGGCAGUUUGGUAACGAAAGGGUUAAGGAUGAUGGCCACUUCCAUUGAUUUCAACAUAUGAGUUUUUGAAGGGAAAAAUUUAAUAAGAUAAAGAUUACCACCUGAAUAAUAAUAAUAAUAACCACAGAUUUACUUGUCAGUUGUUUGACCAUAACCAGUUGAGCAUGUACCUUAGUGGCUGACAAUAUGUGCAUCUCUGAUCACAAGCAGAAGUAGUGGGGGAAGCAUCAUAGCCAUGUGUUGAAAGGAAUUCUUUGGGGUUUGGAUAAUUCACCUUUGGAAACAUGGGUAGUUUGUUCAACAUCCUUAAACAGUCCUUAUUCAGGGACCUUUUGAGCAGGAUGGGCUACUUGACCAGAAGAAAAUUCUAACUGGGCCCCACCUGCAAGGUCAUGCGCUGUUUAUCUUGAUGUGAGAUCACCAUGUCUCGCACACAUGGUUGUCAUGCAUGUGCCUGGUGUACCCUUAUCAGACAGUCACGAUGGGUAUACUGUGUUUUGUAUAUUUUACCCCAGUGUCAUUUUGAUGGCAUGCACUGCUCUCUCACUCAAUAAUAAUAAUAAUAAUCCUUAUAGGUACAAGGUCUGAAAUUUGGUGGAGAGGGGGAUAGUUGAUUACAUCAACUCCAGUACUCAACUGGUACUUAUUUUAUCAACCCUGAGAGGAUGAAAAGCUAAGUCGAUCCUGACAGAAUUUUAAUACAGAACAUAUAGACAUGAAAUACCACUAAGCAUUUUGCCUGGCAUGCUAACAAUUUUGCAGGCUUAAUAAUGAUAAUAAUAAUAAUAAUAAUGAUUUCAAAUUAUGGCACAAGACCAGCAAGUUCGAGGUGGGGGAGUAAGUUGAUUAUAUCGACCUUAGUAUCCAACUGGUACUUAUUUUAUUGACCCCGAAAGGAUGAAAGGCUAAGUUGGUCUUGGCAGAAUUUGGACUCAGAACUUAAAGAUAGCGUAGGAGUUUGCUGUGUGGUAAGUAGCUUGCUUACGAACCACAUGGUUCCGGGUUCAGUCGCACUGCAUGACACCUUGGGCAAGUGUCUUCUAUAGCCUCGGGCCAACCAAAGCCUUGUGAGUGGAUUUGGUAGACAGAAACUGAAAGAAGCCCGUCGUAUGUAUGUAUAUAUAUAUAUAUAUAUAUAUAUAUAUAUAUAUAUAUAUAUAUAUAUAUGUGUGUGUGUGUAUAUGUUUGUGUGUCUGUGUUUGUCCCCCCAACAUCACCCUUUCGAAAUCUUCCAAUGAAGAAUCGAAUACCGCAGCUCAUAGUAGAGAACAUUUUGCCCACUCAAGAUCAGCAAUAAUUUAUGGUAAAGCUGAAUCCACCUGUGAUACAGGCAUAAACCGCCUAAAAGAUGACAUUAAUUUUGUUUCCAUUUUAGUUGGAAAAUUGUUCUCUGUGAACGAAAAUGUCAGUGUCCAUAAGGUCGCUCGGCUAGGAAGAUUCCAAGCGAACCCAACCUCAGAUACUAGACCACGCCCGAUAAGGGUAAUCUUCUCUUCCGAUCGGGAGGCUUCAGUCUUUCUGAACAGAGCUCAGACGCAUGCCUGGGAGGACCCCAAUAUGGGUUUUCGCGAGGAAUACUCACUAAGAGAGAGAAUUCGCCGGAGAAACCUAAUAUCCGAACUAAAGAUGAGGAAACAAAUGGAAGAGAAGGGUUUACGAAUCCAAGAUGGACAGAUAAUCAAGUCCUACCUCUGGUCCCAUGCUGUAGUGCUGACAGGGAAAGUGAUGUGAGGGCAAAUCGAAGUGAAGUUGAUACCCCCGUCAACGAUGCUAUCUCUGAUACCCCUUAUUCUGCUUGUUCCCCAACUCCCGCCCCUCAGACUUCACAGCUUCGCAUCGUCUACACCAACUCGUGCUCCUUAUUCCCAAAGUUCAGUGAACUAUUUACACUGGCCAUACGUGACUCCUCUGAUGUGAUAGCUAUCACCGAGACUUGGCUGACUCCAGCAGUAAAGGACUCAGAAAUCCACCUGCAGGGCUAUGUCCUUUUCAGAUGUGACAGAGGAAAAAGGCGAGGUGGAGGUGUUGCUGUGUAUGUUAAGUCUGAGCACAAACCGUCCAGCGGUAUUCUACCCACUAAUGCUCAACCUACAACAAAAUUCGAUGUUGUCUAUUGCAAGCUGAGCCUAUCUGAGUUUUGCCUGCCCAUGUUGGCUGUCUACAGGCCGCCUCUUGCCGACCCCCAGGACGAUGCUCAUUUACUCGAAGCGAUAAGAUUCGUUUCAGCUUCGCAUGACUGUUUGGUACUAGGAGACUUCAACGCUCCCACGAUCGAUUGGCCCGCAUCAAUUUGUACAACAUCUUCCCGGUUCGGCCAGGCCCUUCUUGACGUGGCUGAAGAUUGUUUUCUAUCGCAACAUGUUGAAUAUCCGACAAGGCAUCGGUCUGGGCAGCAGCCAUCUAUGCUAGAUCUGGUAUUCUCCCGCUAUCCAAGAUCAGUGUCAGACGUAUCUGUGUGCGCCCCUCUUGCUAAGAGUGAUCAUGCGGUCCUGAAGUUCGUCAUGCACAACUUUUUCUACGCCCACGACUACUUCGCUGCCAUGUAGAGUCUUCUCUGCAAUUAAUCUUGAAAUUCUAACCGAGGCUUCCGCGCUUCUGGACUGGCGAUCCCUGAUGACGUUGUCCUCUGUUGACGAACUAUGGUCAUCCCUCAAAGCAUAUGUAAUCUGUUUGACUGACCAGGCAGUUCCCGUUGGGCUUCCCAAGAAGAAGAAACACAAGCCCUGGGUGACGAAGAAGGUUAAACAAGAACGUCGACUCAGAGAUAUUGCUGAAUUCAAAAAUCUGGAUUCGACUGCAGCUUUUGAGGUGUACAAAACUCAACAAGACCGAGCCGUGAAAAUUGAAAAGAAAGAACGCUUCAGUUAUGAAUACAAAAUCGUGGCAAAUGCCAGUAGCAAUCCAAAAACCUUCUUUGCCCAUGUCCAGCGGAAUUCCCGCUUGAACAACCAGAUUGCAACGUUGGUAGACUCAACAGGCGUAUCGAUUGAGGACCCUUAUCAACAGAGUCAAUUAUUUGCCGAGGCUUUUUCAACUAUUUUCAAACAAGAUGAUGGUCGUGAACCCCCUCCAUUUGAUAGAUCGGUACCUCCAAUGCUUCGAUUGGUCAUCACGCGGGACGAAGUCAAACGUGUUAUUCAAGGCCUCGAUGUCAACAAGGGUCAAGGCCCUGACGGCAUACACCCACGGGUUAUCAAAGCGUUGGCUCCGGUCAUCUGCGAGCCCUUAACACGACUAUUCAAUAUGUCAUUGGCGACGGGUGUUAUACCUGCAGACUGGAGAACAGCGAUAAUCUGCCCAAUUUUCAAGAAAGGGAGCCGUGAAGACCCGCUUAACUACCGACCGGUUUCCCUUACAUCAAUAAUCAGCAAGAUGUUCGAAACCAUCCUUAAGAAAAGUAUGAUGCUCCACCUCCAAAACACAGCCUCUAUCUCUGAUUCCCAACACGGCUUCGUGCCGAAGAGAUCAUGCUUGACCAACUUACUAGUAAUGGAAGAAUUGGUGACGCACAUCCUCGAUGAUAGUGAUGCUGUUGACAUCGUUUUAUUGGACUUUGCCAAAGCUUUUGACUCGGUAAACCACCGCCUAUUACUUGUCAAGCUUCAAGCAUAUAGUUUCCAUCCGGAUAUUAUAUGAUGGGUUGGUGCCUUCCUCUCAGAUCACUCCUUCCAAGUCCAAGUUAAUGGUUCGCGGUCCGACAUCUCCAGUGAGAGCAGUGGCGUGCCUCAAGGUUCAGUGCUUGGGCCCUUGUUGUUCUUAGUCUUCAUAAAUGACUUGCCCGACGACCUCACGCAACACACCCUUCUAUUUGCCGACAAUAUCAAACUGGUCGCUCCUCGCGGUAAUAUAGAGGAUCUUCGUCGAUGCCUCCACCAAAUUUGGAAGUGGUCUAACGAUUGGGACCUGUGUCUGAACGUGUCAAAGUGCUGUCAUCUGCCUGUCGGCUCUACUCCUGCAACUCAACUUGAUUUUGAGCCGGGUCGUCUGCUGCUGGAGAGGACCGAUCAGGUAAAGGACCUGGGUAUCUUGGUGGAUUCCUCCUUUUUGCCUUCGGCCCAGUGCGUCCAUGCUGCCAACAAAGCACGCGGAAUUCUGUUCUUGAUUCGACGGUCAUUCGGAAUGCUCACAGCAGCCAUAUUCCUACCACUCUAUGUCACGCUGGUGAGACCCAUAUUGGAGUAUGGGAUUCAAGCCUCUUCUCCUUAUCUCCUCAAAGACAUACAGCAUCUCGAAAGAGUUCAGAAGCUGGCUACCCGCAUGGUUCAUGGUCUCAAAAAUUUGUCCUACGAAGAAAGGCUGAGGACACUCGACCUUUAUUCUCUUGAAAAACGCCGCCACCGUGGUGAUCUCAUUCUCGCCCACAACAUCAUAAGCGGAAAGUGUAACCUCUCGAAAGAGCUGUUCUUCACUCCUGCUCCAGAGCGUCGGCUGCGGGGUCAUUCCGAAAAGCUCUACCUGCGACGAUUUCAUCUCAAUCGAAGGAGAGGAGCUUUCUCCGUCCGGGUUGCGGAUCCGUGGAACAAGCUGCAGACGAGAUGGUGAAGAUGCCGACGACCGCUUUGUUCAAAGCCUCCCUGGACCUCAAGUGGCCUGAACUCUUUACAUGAACACCACCCUGUACUUAACUCCAUGUCCCCCUACAUGGCCUUGCUAUUUGCUUUUGAGCCAAAUUAACUAACUAACUAACUAACUUGACAACCGAUGCUGGUGUGUUUACAUCCCCUGUAACUUAGCGGUUUGGUGAAAGAGACUGAUAGAAUAAGUACUAUGCUUACAAAGAAUAAGUCCUGGGGUCGAUUUGCUCGACUAAAAAAGGCGGUGCUCCAGCAUGGCCACAGUCACAUGACUGAAACAAGUAAAAGAGUUUGGAUAAAAUGCCACUAAACAUUUUGCCCAGCAUGCUGACAAUUCUGCCAGUUUACCACAUUAAUGAUAAUAAUAGUUUAGUGUUUUCAACUACUAAACCAGUUGAUGUCAUUGACUUGCAAGUGGGUCAUCGUCUGUUUUAGACAGGCAGCUUCUCUUUUCUGUACAGAGAAUAUAACGUUUAUAUUUUACCAACAAACUCUAUUUUAUAUUAAUAAGAAUUUCUAUUUUUAUUUUCUUUCAUUUUUAAAUAUUUGUAUCAAUUAAGCUCCAUGAUAUUUAGGUAUUUUAAUGCGUGGUUUCCUCAAAAAACAAAAAUUAAAAGAAAAAAAAUAACCUAAACAAAUAAAAUAAAUAAGUAAAUAAAUAAAUAAAAAAAGGCAUUUGGAUAUAUUCCUAAUACUGAAGCAAUAUCUAUUUCACUGUUUGUAUAUUUAGAGCUGAUAUAUAACCAUGAAUUCGUAUAUUUAGCCUUUGAUUUUAUUUCCCUUCUAUUAUUAUUAUUAUUAUUAUUAUUAUUAUUAUUAUUAUUAUUAUUAUCAUUAUUAUUAUUAUUAUUAUUAUUAUUAUUAUUAUUAUUAUUAUUAUUAUUAUUAUUAUCAUUAUUAUUAUUAUUAUUAUUAUUAUUAUUAUCAUUAUUAUUAUUAUUAUUAUUAUUAUUAUUAUUUGUAAUGAAUUAUGCAAUGCUCUGUGUCUUUGUUACACUCCAUGCAGGCUUGCCAGUUCAUUAACCACCUUGAACUAGUGAAGUGUUGCUAUUGUUAAACAUCUUACUCUCCACUCAAAGAGAACUGUGUCUAGUGUUAUGAAUUAUGAACUUGUGGUUUGUUUAUGGCAGAUUUCUCCUCCCACCAACCCCAUUGCUUUAUGCAUGCUGUACAGUGUUCUGCUGUUAUGGCUGCUUAAAAAGAGGGGAAAAAAUGUAUCAUUUUAUACUGAUAUGCAUGUGAAAGACAUUGCUUGGACUUUUGAAGGAGUUCUUUGGCUAGUUUUGAUUCCCAGUCAAAGCCGGUGUCUUUAGAGGGAGCAUAAAUGUUGCAGAUAUCAUUUAGAUUUCCUAAAGGAUUUUUACCGUUGUAUUUAAGGAAGAUAUCGAUAAGCCAUUCCCAGUGAGAGGACCUGCAGGCAAUUGCUCAAGACAUAACAAAAUCACACCGCCUCCUCCUCCUCAUCAUCAUCAUUGUUUUAACAUCUAUGAUGUGGAUGAAUGUAGACAGCUCCAUAAAAAAGUGCUGAUCACUCAAAGUGGAUGGCAUUCAUGAUAGAGGGAGACUCAGGAAGACAUGGCAUGAAGUACUGGAAGAUGACCUCAGGACACUGAACCUUACAGCAGAGGUGAGAAAGGACUGAAAUAUUUGGCACCUUGCCAUACUCAAGAAUACCCAUCCUCCACAGCAUCAGUAUUAAUGCUGUUUCCCCUGCUGAAGAGGAUUGGCCUGCAAGGGCCCUGUGCUAGUGCCACGUAAAAAGCACCCAUGCCAGUGUCACGUAAAAGCAUCCAUGCCAUUACCACAUACAAGGCACCCAGCACAAAGUGGUUGGUAUUAAGAAGGGCAUCUAGCCAUAGAAACCAAGCCAAAUCAGACUGGAGCCUGGUGCAGCUCUCUAGCAGGCCAGCUUCUGUCAAACCAUCCAGCCCAUGGAAAGCAGAUGUUAAAGGAUGAUGGUGAUAAUGAUGAUUAUUAUGUGAGAGAACAGUGCAUGCCAUCAAAGUAACACUGGGAUAAAAUAUACGAAGCCCAGCAUACCCAUCAUGACCACCCGUCUGAUAAGGGUACACCAGGCACAUGCAUCACAACCAUAUGUGCACAACAUGGUGAUCUCAUAUCAAGAUAGACAGCACAUGACCUUGCAGCAGUAUUAUUAUUAUUAUUAUUAUUGAGAGAGCAGUGUAUGCCAUCAAAGUGACACUGGGGUAAAAUAUAUGAAGCUCAGUAUACCCAUCAUGACUACUCGUCUGAUAAGGGUACAUCAGGCAUGUGUAUCACAACCAUAUGUGCACGAUAAAACAAUUUACAUGAUAACACUUCCAAUCAGUUAAGAUCAAAUUAUUAUUAUUAUUAUUAUUUAUUGUCUUUGCACAGCUCCUAAUGCUGGAGAUGUACUAUGGUGCCAGCUGUUCACUACCAGUGAACUAAGGUAACACUCUUUGUUUUUUGAGCACCAUCCUGAGUGUUUGAGCGGUUCCAAGCAGUGCUGUUUUCUGCAAGUGCUCCACCCUUAUUGUAGCCCCUAUUUGUUGCAUGUACUCCUCAAGAUUUUUACUCAUUGUUCCCAGGGCUCCAACAAUUAUUGGUACCACUGCCGCCUUUUUGAUCGACCACAACUGCUUAACCUCCCAAGCUAACCUGUCAUAUCUAUCGACUUUUCUUUCUUCCUUAUCACAUACCUUAUUGUCAGCUGGGUGUGCUAUAUCUAUGAUCUAGUAACAUUUGCUUUUUCUCAGUUAACACUAUGUCUGAUUUCCUAUUCUCUAUCUCAUGGUUGCACUGAAUCAUAAAAUCCCAUAUGAUCUUUACAUUAUUAUUUUUGAUUUUGCCUUUGGGUUUAUAUUUAUAUAGUUUUUGCUCUGUCAAGUUCAGACUUGUUGCAAAGCGUCCAAUGGACAAUUCUUGCUAUAUUGUCAUGACAUUUCUUAUAUUCUUUCUGGGCUAGUGGUGUACAUUGACUGGUAAAAUGCCAUAUGCUUUCACCAUUUUGUCCACAAAUUCUGCACUUACCACUUUUUCUAAUGUGUUUAUUCUGUAUUUAGUGUAAUUGGUUCUUAAUGCUUGCUCUUUGGCAGCACAAAUUAGAGCCUCCAUUGCCAGUUUCAAAUCACUUUUAGUCAUCCACAGCCAUCUUUUUUCUCUGUCUGUCUUAUCUUCAACAUCCCUAUGAAAUUGUUCAUGCAUUCUUCUCUUUAUCCACCUAUUUUCAUUUUCAUCCAUUCUCAAGUGCUUGUACAGUGCUUUAUCUUUGCAAUGGUGAUGACAAAUUGUCAGGUUGGACCACUGAUGUAAACCUGGGGUGGAUGGGUGAAUCUUUCUUGGUAACUUUACAUUUGAACUAAAGAUUUAGCCAUACUAAUUGUGCUUAUAAGACCAAAAUGCAAAAAUAAAAUAAAUAAAUGAUUAGAAUUUUUAAUUAAAGCUUUUGGCUUAAUUAGGCUUGACUGUUUUCAUUGGUAGUUUAUUAGAUUUCAAAUUCCAUGUGACAUCUGUAAAGGUUUUUGGUACAAUACCACAACUUACUCAACAACUUAGUUAUUCCGAACUUUUUUAUUGAUUUUCUUGUUUUAUGUUUUUUUUUGUCUUGUAACUAUGUAAAAAAUUGAUAAGGUUACAAAUCAUAUCCAACCACACAGCCAGUUACAGAAGAUAUGGAAUGUAGUUUCAUCGGAGGUAUUGAUUUUUCGGUUAGGGAAUGUGAGCAAGUUGAAAAUAAUUAAGGGUAUGAGGAGAGCAGGCUGCAUAUCCUGUCCUUUGUGAGUUGGCAAAAGAAACCAAAAUUAUAAAAGAACAAUUGCAAAAAAAUAAGACGAAAAGGAAACUGCUUUUUGAUUUCAUUUGAAGGAUAACCUUGAGGUUUCUUACCAAUUAUUUCAUUGUUUAUACCAUAGCAAAAUAUAGAAAUAUUAAAGUUAUUACCCUUUAGCUGACUCUUUGAUUCUUGUGUUUGAGUAAAUAAAAUUGUGUGGACUGUUUUUAUGUCUGUUUUGAACUGGGUUAAAUCUUGAAAUCUCUUGCAGUGUGAGGCUUAGUGGGGGGGGGGGGGGGUCUGAGAAAUAGUAAAUGCAUAUUAAGUUCAUAUAAUUAAUCAAAUGGAUUCUGGGGGUACUACCUGAAUAUUCUUCAUAAGUCCUGAGAGAGGCCACCUAACUGAUGGGUAUAAAAUCAUUCACAAGCAGUUUCUGUCCCACAGAUGUGCUGUGUGUCCUCUCUUUGCCUUUUCUACUACUACUACAAUGCUCUCUGCUCUCCAGAGCUUGCCAAUUUUGUGUCACUUCCAUUGAGGCAUUCUUGCUUUACUCAUCCUGCCAAAGUCAUCUUUGCUUUCCAUUCUUUUGGGAUCAAUAAAAUAAAGUACUAGUGAAAUACUUAGUCCUUUCUCUAGUAACAUUGUGUCAUUUUCGAUGGUUGUGCAGUGCACACCUUGCACACUUGGAAUAUAUGUCCCUGGAGAAAACCCUAAACGAAACAGUGUCAUGUGGCAAAUUGACACCCCCAACAUCCUUUUUCUGCUAGCCACUGUAGGGAUUGUUGCUCACACUGGUCUUAUUCCGUUCUUGUUGGUAAGAAACAGUUGCAGCUUAUCAAGAGGGCUGCUAGCAAUGCUUAAAAGAAAUCUGUUGUAACUAAGGCACCUCUGAUGACUGGUGAGUGAUGGCUGAAUAACCAUGAUUAAAAGCAGGAGUGAGUCCCUGGAGAAAAGGGUUUAGCCCACAGCCUUCAUAGGGCCUAUCAAAAUGGAUGAGGUUAAUGGUUUUCUUAAACACCUAUUUAGUUGAUAACUUCUUGGGAAACAUGUGCAAGUAGGGUGGGCAUUUCCAGCAGAAUGAUGUACUGGAGAGGAAGGCAGGCUUGGGGGAGUAGUGAGUAUGGAGCGUCAUGGUGGGAUGGGAGGGCAAAGAGUAAAGGUAAUAAAAAAGGGAUCUAAUGAAGUUGAUUUGUUUUACUCUGCUCCUUUCUUACACUUUCCUUUUCUGUUUAAUUAACAAACUAAUUAAUCAUUUCUCCUAUCAUUACAUACAGCAAUGAGCUGGUGUUUUUAUAUUUUUUAAAAUUAUAUUAAAGUGUACUGGUCCAUUGGAUAGCACAGUUGCACAAAUCAAUAAAGGUACCAAACUAUCAAUUCAGUGAUUAAUAUACUAAUGAAUUCUUGAAAAUUUUUUUAAUUAACAUAAUUGUAAUUUCUUUAAGUUGACAUUUAACUCCUUUAUAAUCAUAUUUCUAUUGAAAAACACUAUCUUUGUUUUAGAAUUUAAAUUGACAUGAAAUUUUGAUCGAAGGUUUUAAUUUACAUUACUUUAAGAUCUUUAACCUUAAGCAUUUAAUCCAGCCAUAUCUACCUGUUUUAUGUUAAAACUGACCAGAUCCAACCUCUCACACCUACCCUACAAUGUCAUUCUAAAAAUAUACAAACACACCAUUGAAAUUUUGAAGCUACAAAAUAAUGCAUGAUUAAUUCAAAACAAAAUGUGAAUAAAUAAACAAUAUAUUUGACAAAGAAAUCUGAAUUCUAAAAGGUUAAAGUUUGAAUCAUAGAACUAGAAGCACUCUUGCGUAGGUUGGUGUUAAAAUGGUUAAAGAAAAUAAACUUAUUUUAUAAAAAAACAUGUUCAGGUUAUAGUGUGCUGUCCAUGCUAGUUCUAUUUCAUAGUACUGAAAUUAGGUGUUGUCAUUGUUACUAUGUUGUUCUAGUUAUCUUUGAUAAAGUAUGUCAGUUAUUGUCGUUUGGACCAAUUUCAACCCUAGUUAAGCCGGCCUGUAAAUCCAAACCAUUUCAACCAAGACCAAGCCAUUUUUUGCCCAACAGUUUUGUAUAUUGCUGCCAGCAUUAUAUAUAGUUGUAGGUAGGUGCUAUAUGGAAGUGCAUUGGUAGUGGUUAGAGUGUUCAGCUCAUGAUCAUAAGGUCGUGAAUUCAAUUCAUGACAGUAUGUUGUGUCCUCGAGCAGGACACUUUAUUUCCUGUGGCUCCAGUCCACUCAACUGGCAAAAUUGAGUUGUGCCUGUAUUUCAAAGGGCCAACCUUGUUACAAUUGGGGUGUCACACUGAAUUUCCCUAAAUACUAUAAGGGUACUCAUGUCUGUGGAUUGCUCAGCCACUUGCAUGUUAAUUUCACGAGCAGGCUGUUUUGUUGAUCUGAUUAACUGGAACCCUCGUCGUCAUAACGAAUGGAGUGCCAGUCUUUUAUUGGCAGAUACCGUUGGCAUAUAGUACCACAUAAUAAGAAGUACAAACCUCUGUAGACUGCUGUGGUAGUGAUGUAAAAUUAAUAAGAGUUUCGUUAGCAUGCUCUGUUGGUGUUGGCCUUUUUAAAGUUUGGAAGAAUAGCUUUUUGAGUAUUAGGCUUGUCUGAACCAACAGGCUCUAGGUUUAUGUGAAGUCUUCAAUGGUACCCUUAAAACUCAAGGUUUAUGAAACCUUUCCCUUGCCAUGGACACACACACCCUUGUAUAAAAAAUAAAAAUAGUGGAAUGCUUUUGAUUAUAUGGCUGCAGGUCCAGGGUUGAUCUGGGAUUAUUUAACAAUAACAAUUUCUAAGUAGUAAUAUAUAAAUUACCAUUUUGAAAUAUUGAAUUCCAUAAAUAGUGUUUUGAUUUGAAUUACAAUGUCCUGUGCAUGUUUUAGUUUCUGUUUUAUGAAGACUGAAUGUUUUAGUUUCUGUUUUAUGAAGACAGAAUGUUUUAGUUUCUGUUUUAUGAAGACAGAAUGUUGUCUUGUUAGAAAACUGACACCCAAACACUUAAUCAUCACAUCUUUUGUAUGAGUCUUUAUAGUUAUUAUGAAUUCCAUAAAUGACAUCACCAUUUAAUUUUUUCUUUCUGUCUCUUACCAGUAAAAUUCUUAACUGACAGUCAUUUUUUUCUUUCACAUUUACCAUUUCUUUUUUCCCCAUUAGGCCUUGAAGAGAUGGGUUAUGAAGUUGUCAGAUUUCAGGGGGAUGUUGAUGAAGAAUUGAUUUGUGCUAUUUGCAGUGGAGUCCUUGAGGAUCCACUCCAGG